UACGUAGGGUGCAAGCGUUAAUCGGAAUUACUGGGCGUAAAGCGUGCGCAGGCGGUUUUGUAAGACUGUCGUGAAAUCCCCGGGCUCAACCUGGGAAUGGCGAUGGUGACUGCAAGGCUAGAGUUUGGCAGAGGGGGGUAGAAUUCUACGUGUAGCAAGUGAAUGCGUAGAUAUGUGGAGGAACACCGAUGGCGAAGGCAGCCCCCUGGGUCAAAACUGACGCUCAUGCACGAAAGCGUGGGGAGCAAACAGG
rnacentral:rRNA from 1 species